UGCAAGUCGUACGCGGUGUGGAGCAAUCCAUGAGUAGAGUGGCAAACGGGUGAGUAACACGUGGGUGACCUGCCUUCGAGUGGGGGAUAACGUCCCGAAAGGGACGCUAAUACCGCAUAACAUGCUGUCUUUUAAGAGAGAGACAUCAAAGCCGGGGACCGCAAGGCCUGGCGCUAGAAGAGGGGCCCGCGCCUGAUUAGCUAGUUGGUGGGGUAAUGGCUCACCAAGGCAACGAUCAGUAUCCGGCCUGAGAGGGCGGACGGACACACUGGGACUGAGACACGGCCCAGACUCCUACGGGAGGCAGCAGUGGGGAAUUGUUCGCAAUGGGCGCAAGCCUGACGACGCAACGCCGCGUGGAGGAUGAAGACCUUCGGGUCGUAAACUCCUUUCGAUCGAGACGAAUGGCCUCCGGGCUAACAUCCUGGAGGAGUGACGGUACCGAGAGAAGAAGCCCCGGCUAACUCCGUGCCAGCAGCCGCGGUAAUACGGGGGGGGCAAGCGUUGUUCGGAAUUACUGGGCGUAAAGGGCUCGUAGGCGGCCAACUAAGUCAUACGUGAAAUCCCUCGGCUUAACCGGGGAACUGCGUCUGAUACUGGAUGGCUUGAGUUCGGGAGAGGGAUGCGGAAUUCCAGGUGUAGCGGUGAAAUGCGUAGAUAUCUGGAGGAACACCGGUGGCGAAGGCGGCAUCCUGGACCGAUACUGACGCUGAGGAGCGAAAGCCAGGGGAGCAAACGGGAUUAGAUACCCCGGUAGUCCUGGCCCUAAACGAUGAAUGCUUGGUGUGGCGGGUAUCGAUCCCUGCCGUGCCGAAGCUAACGCAUUAAGCAUUCGGCCUGGGGAGUACGGUCGCAAGGCUG
rnacentral:rRNA from 1 species